AAUCCAUAGGUUAAUGAGGCGAACCGGGGGAACUGAAACAUCUAAGUACCCCGAGGAAAAGAAAUCAACCGAGAUUCCCCCAGUAGCGGCGAGCGAACGGGGAGGAGCCCAGAGCCUGAAUCAGCAUGUGUGUUAGUGGAAGCGUCUGGAAAGGCGCGCGAUACAGGGUGACAGCCCCGUACACAAAAGCGCAUGUGCUGUGAGCUCGAUGAGUAGGGCGGGACACGUGGUAUCCUGUCUGAAUAUGGGGGGACCAUCCUCCAAGGCUAAAUACUCCUGACUGACCGAUAGUGAACCAGUACCGUGAGGGAAAGGCGAAAAGAACCCCGGCGAGGGGAGUGAAAAAGAACCUGAAACCGUGUACGUACAAGCAGUGGGAGCCCCACCACCAAAGCAUUCUCUGGUGUUGAAGGCCCUGCAAAGCAGCAUCGCGGUGGCGGAGCGUCG
rnacentral:rRNA from 1 species